rnacentral:rRNA from 1 species
AGAGUUUGAUCCUGGCUCAGGACGAACGCUGGCGGCGCGCCUAACACAUGCAAGUCGAACGAGCGAGAGAGAGCUUGCUUUCUCGAGCGAGUGGCGAACGGGUGAGUAACGCGUGAGGAACCUGCCUCAAAGAGGGGGACAACAGUUGGAAACGACUGCUAAUACCGCAUAAGCCCACGGGUCGGCAUCGACCAGAGGGAAAAGGAGCAAUCCGCUUUGAGAUGGCCUCGCGUCCGAUUAGCUAGUUGGUGAGGUAACGGCCCACCAAGGCGACGAUCGGUAGCCGGACUGAGAGGUUGAACGGCCACAUUGGGACUGAGACACGGCCCAGACUCCUACGGGAGGCAGCAGUGGGGGAUAUUGCGCAAUGGGGGAAACCCUGACGCAGCAACGCCGCGUGAAGGAUGAAGGUCUUCGGAUUGUAAACUUCUUUUAUUAAGGACGAAUAAAGUGACGGUACUUAAUGAAUAAGCUCCGGCUAACUACGUGCCAGCAGCCGCGGUAAUACGUAGGGAGCAAGCGUUGUCCGGAUUUACUGGGUGUAAAGGGUGCGUAGGCGGCUUUGCAAGUCAGAUGUGAAAUCUAUGGGCUCAACCCAUAGCCUGCAUUUGAAACUGCAGAGCUUGAGUGAAGUAGAGGCAGGCGGAAUUCCCCGUGUAGCGGUGAAAUGCGUAGAGAUGGGGAGGAACACCAGUGGCGAAGGCGGCCUGCUGGGCUUUAACUGACGCUGAGGCACGAAAGCGUGGGUAGCAAACAGGAUUAGAUACCCUGGUAGUCCACGCUGUAAACGAUGAUUACUAGGUGUGGGGGGUCUGACCCCUUCCGUGCCGGAGUUAACACAAUAAGUAAUCCACCUGGGGAGUACGGCCGCAAGGUUGAAACUCAAAGGAAUUGACGGGGGCCCGCACAAGCAGUGGAGUAUGUGGUUUAAUUCGACGCAACGCGAAGAACCUUACCAAGUCUUGACAUCCCUUGACAGACAUAGAAAUAUGUAUUCUCUUCGGAGCAAGGAGACAGGUGGUGCAUGGUUGUCGUCAGCUCGUGUCGUGAGAUGUUGGGUUAAGUCCCGCAACGAGCGCAACCCUUACUGUUAGUUGCUACGCAAGAGCACUCUAGCAGGACUGCCGUUGACAAAACGGAGGAAGGUGGGGAUGACGUCAAAUCAUCAUGCCCCUUAUGACCUGGGCUACACACGUGCUACAAUGGACAGAGCAGAGGGAAGCGAAGCCGCGAGGUGGAGCGAAACCCAUAAAACUGUUCUCAGUUCGGACUGCAGUCUGCAACUCGACUGCACGAAGAUGGAAUCGCUAGUAAUCGCGAAUCAGCAUGUCGCGGUGAAUACGUUCUCGGGCCUUGUACACACCGCCCGUCACACCAUGAGAGUCGGUAACACCCGAAGCCGGUGGCCUAACCGCAAGGAAGGAGCUGUCUAAGGUGGGACUGAUGAUUGGGGUGAAGUCGUAACAAGGUAUCCCUACGGGAACGUGGGGAUG